AAGGCGUUUUUAUAAAAUUCCAUUAAUGAAUCGCACGUGCCUCGUUGAUAACAAUGCUGCGUGUCUCGCUCGCUAACAAAAUCAUCAGGUCGAAUUCAUCUAUUUUGCAUUUACAUUUACAUUUCUUCAUCAAGAAGGCGGAUAAUCGGAUAUACAUGUCUUUCAAAUCCCAAAUCAAAUGAAAAUCAAUCGUCUUGAUUACAUCUUUACUUGCAUUAAUGGUUUCUUGAUUUUGUUUUUCAAAAUUAAACUGGGAGGGUUCUACAAACUACAAUCAAGCAACGGUUUUCCCCAAUCUAUUUGAUCAGAAAGAACCCUAGAAGAUGAGUAGACAGGGUACGCGAUUCUGGACGUUUAAUAGUUUGGUGGGUGCUUUUCUUGAUCUUUCAAUAGCUUAUUUCUUACUUUGUGGAUCAACCAUUGCUUUCUUUGCUGGUAAAUUUCUGGGUUUUUUCGGUUUGAGCUUGCCAAGUCCGUUCGGGAUCCCUAAUUCCGAUUUGAAUAGUUUACUCCUUGAUUACCCAACUGAUAAAAUCUCCGCUGUUCAAUUCUCUGUAACUAGAAAGUUCCCUUUUGAUUCGAUUUUCUUUAGUGUCCAGAAUUGCAAUGCGAGUGAUGGUUUGAAUUUAGGAAGAGGUGAGAGGGUUAAGGAAUUAGAAGGUGAAGCGUCUAGUAGUUCGAUAUCUGAUGCUAGAAAAGCUGUUAAAAAUGAAACCGAUGAUUCUGGAGUUAAGAUUGAAAAGGAAAGGGGAUUCGAUAUGAAAGGAAAAGGGGCUUUAAAUCAUCGAGUGAGAGGUAGUUUUCGAAGAAGAAAAAAGAGUAGUCUCGAUAGUGGUAAACGCUCUUCUGUCUCAUCUUCUCCAAAUUGGAUUACGUGCGUCGAUCAGCAGAGCAAUGAGAAAGAACAUGUCGCCGGAGUUGCAGAGAACUCCAUUCUUUCCGGUGCUAACAGCUGUAACUACGAAGCACAUACUCCCACGGCGGAAAACGAUUCCCAAGAACGGAUUCCCAUUAACGAGGAAGAUAAAGCAAACACGAUACUUUUAUUGACACGAGAAUUAAUAGAAGAGCAAGACGCUCGAGCAGCGCUUUAUAUUGAACUCGAGAAGGAAAGAAGCGCCGCCGCCACUGCCGCCGAUGAAGCCAUGGCUAUGAUUCUCCGAUUACAAGAAGAAAAGGCGUCAAUAGAAAUGGAGUCACGUCAGUAUCAAAGAAUGAUAGAAGAGAAAUCAGCUUACGAUGCAGAAGAGAUGAACAUCUUGAAAGAAAUCGUUCUGAGAAGAGAGAUGGAGAAACAUUUCCUGGAAAAGGAAGUCGAAGCUUACAGACAGACUUCACCGGAAAGUAAUCAAAAUUACAAUAAUACCCUUGCUUCCGGUGACAACGACCCUGAUCGGAUUUUACGUGAUCUCAGCAUGUCAAUCGACUUAUCAAAACAAAAAUUGAAGAUAGACAAACAGUUGUCGGAGAAAACCAUAGCCAUUGUAGAGGAAGAACACAAGAAGGAGACUGAUGUUUUUUAUGAGACAAAUGGGAAGGAGGAGGAGGAGGCUGAGGUGAGUAGCGGUGGUGUUGUGAAGAAGGCGGAGGUGAGCGGCGGGAUGGGACUGCCGCCGAUGGGGUCGAAAUGGAAGAUUUUAAGGAGGAAUUCAACGUCGGCUUUGGAUAAUGAAAGAACGAAACUUGAUACUGAAGUUGAGUGGUUGAGAGAAAGGUUGAGAAUUGUGCAAGAAGGAAGAGAAAAGCUGAAUUUCUCCAUUGAUAAUCGUGAAAAAGAAAGUUUGCAGUUGCAGCUUUUGGAGGAUAUUGCUAGACAGCUUCAGGAGAUACGGAUGUUGACUGAACCUCGGAGUGGACGUCAAGCUUCUCUUCCACUUCCUUCCGCCAAGUUUCAGUUACUCCAAUGUGUAUAUAAUACUUAGAGGGGUAAAAUGGUCAUUUACUUGCAUAAAGACGGUUUUUUGUCGGACAGAAUGAAGAGUUUGUCAAAGAAAAGGCGAUGUAGAAGUGCAUCAAUAGGACCUGCAAAAAGCUCUUGAAAUGCUCAUCAUCAAGAUUGAUUAUCUAAAGAAAGGAUGUGGAAAAAAAAAAAAAACUUGGUAGUUUUGAAAUUUAAUUUAGUUUUUUUUGCAAUAUAGUAUUUUUCUCUUGUGAAUAUUAGAAUCAGUUGCAAGGAUAAUAAAAAUUGGAGUGUAGAUGUUUUCUUGACUUCAUUGCAUAUUGUUGUACAGUUUCGGUUUCAAUUUUUCUGUAGUAUGAUACGAAACCCUUAAAAUUUGGACAUGUGAAAUAUUACAUUUACACCCCUUUCUUUUC